rnacentral:tRNA from 1 species
CAGUAGCUCAGUGGAUCAGAGCAUCGGACUUCUAAUCCGUGUGUCGUGGGUUCGAGUCCCACCUG